rnacentral:rRNA from 1 species
GCACAUUGCGGUCCUCGGAUACUCGUUCCCGGACCACUCCUGGCUGAGGGUCGUAUCAAUUUCAAAGACUGCUCGAUUUUCUUCUUAGGGAGAAAAUGUCGGAGCGCGUUGGAUGAUGUAUUAACGCAUACAUGUAUAUAGAUUAUAUGUAGGCGACAUCUUAAAAUGCGAAAGCAUUGUAUUUUCUCGUUCAAAGAAAAUACAUACUUUUGUACACAACUUCACACGUAUGAGCACGAUUAUAGAAAAUAACACUCGUACACACAUAUACAACAAACACUUGAAAUUUGUUGGUGAGAAUGUUUUUUUCCAUAUAGUCGAUACUACUCAACACGGUCGUCGUGUCCGAGAGAGAAUACAAUUUCGAAGACUAGACGUCUGAUCUGUGUAGUAGUAGUAGUAGUAGUAUCAACGACAUAAUAGAAAAUCUAUUCUUACCGUGUUAACAUAACAAAUAUAGUUAGUAUAUGUGUGUGUGCGCG